rnacentral:rRNA from 1 species
AGCAAUCGAAGCAGUGAACUUAAGCCCCAGUAAACGGCGGCCGUAACUAUAACGGUCCUAAGGUAGCGAAAUUCCUUGUCGGGUAAGUUCCGACCCGCACGAAAGGCGUAACGAUUUGGGCACUGUCCCAACAACAGACUCGGUGAAAUUGUAAUUCCGGUGACGAUGCCGGAUACCUGCGACCGGACGGAAAGACCCCAUGGAGCUUUACUGUAGCUUGACAUUGGGCCUUGGUACUACAUGUACAGGGUAGGUGGGAGGCUUUGAAACCAGGACGACAGUUUUGGCGGAGCCAUCCUUGGGAUACCACCCUUGUAGUACUGGGACUCUAACCAUAGGCCAUGAAUCUGGUCUUGGGACACUGUCAGGUGGGCAGUUUGACUGGGGCGGUCGCCUCCCAAAAGG